AGCCAGUGUGGUGUAGUGGUUUGACCGUCAGACUACAACUUUGAAGGCCAGAGUUCAAAUCCCUCCUUGGCUA